rnacentral:rRNA from 1 species
UACGUAGGGGGCAAGCGUUGUCCGGAUUCAUUGGGCGUAAAGAGCGUGUAGGCGGCCAGGUAGGUCGGUUGUGAAAACUGGAGGCUCAACCUUCAGAGGUCGACCGAAACCAUCUGGCUAGAGUCCGGGAGAGGAGAGUGGAAUUCCUGGUGUAGCGGUGAAAUGCGCAGAUAUCAGGAAGAACACCCGUGGCGAAAGCGGCUCUCUGAACGGUACUGACGCUGAGACGCGAAAGCGUGGGGAGCGAACAGG